rnacentral:rRNA from 1 species
AAGAGUUUGAUCCUGGCUCAGAUUGAACGCUGGCGGCAGGCCUAACACAUGCAAGUCGAGCGGAUGAAGGGAGCUUGCUCCUGGAUUCAGCGGCGGACGGGUGAGUAAUGCCUAGGAAUCUGCCUGGUAGUGGGGGAUAACGUCCGGAAACGGGCGCUAAUACCGCAUACGUCCUGAGGGAGAAAGUGGGGGAUCUUCGGACCUCACGCUAUCAGAUGAGCCUAGGUCGGAUUAGCUAGUUGGUGGGGUAAAGGCCUACCAAGGCGACGAUCCGUAACUGGUCUGAGAGGAUGAUCAGUCACACUGGAACUGAGACACGGUCCAGACUCCUACGGGAGGCAGCAGUGGGGAAUAUUGGACAAUGGGCGAAAGCCUGAUCCAGCCAUGCCGCGUGUGUGAAGAAGGUCUUCGGAUUGUAAAGCACUUUAAGUUGGGAGGAAGGGCAGUAAGUUAAUACCUUGCUGUUUUGACGUUACCAACAGAAUAAGCACCGGCUAACUUCGUGCCAGCAGCCGCGGUAAUACGAAGGGUGCAAGCGUUAAUCGGAAUUACUGGGCGUAAAGCGCGCGUAGGUGGUUCAGCAAGUUGGAUGUGAAAUCCCCGGGCUCAACCUGGGAACUGCAUCCAAAACUACUGAGCUAGAGUACGGUAGAGGGUGGUGGAAUUUCCUGUGUAGCGGUGAAAUGCGUAGAUAUAGGAAGGAACACCAGUGGCGAAGGCGACCACCUGGACUGAUACUGACACUGAGGUGCGAAAGCGUGGGGAGCAAACAGGAUUAGAUACCCUGGUAGUCCACGCCGUAAACGAUGUCGACUAGCCGUUGGGAUCCUUGAGAUCUUAGUGGCGCAGCUAACGCGAUAAGUCGACCGCCUGGGGGAGUACGGCCGCAAGGUUUAAACUCAAAGGA